GAUGAACGCUGGCGGCGUGCUUAACACAUGCAAGUCGAACGGAAAGGCCCUGCUUUUGUGGGGUGCUCGAGUGGCGAACGGGUGAGUAACACGUGAGUAACCUGCCCUUGACUUUGGGAUAACUUCAGGAAACUGGGGCUAAUACCGGAUAGGAGCUCCUGCUGCAUGGUGGGGGUUGGAAAGUUUCGGCGGUUGGGGAUGGACUCGCGGCUUAUCAGCUUGUUGGUGGGGUAGUGGCUUACCAAGGCUUUGACGGGUAGCCGGCCUGAGAGGGUGACCGGCCACAUUGGGACUGAGAUACGGCCCAGACUCCUACGGGAGGCAGCAGUGGGGAAUAUUGCACAAUGGGCGGAAGCCUGAUGCAGCAACGCCGCGUGCGGGAUGACGGCCUUCGGGUUGUAAACCGCUUUCGCCUGUGACGAAGCGUGAGUGACGGUAAUGGGUAAAGAAGCACCGACUAACUACGUG
rnacentral:rRNA from 1 species